AGUGAACGCUGGCGGUAGGCCUAACACAUGCAAGUCGAACGGCAGCACAGUAAGAGCUUGCUCUUACGGGUGGCGAGUGGCGGACGGGUGAGGAAUACAUCGGAAUCUACUUUUUCGUGGGGGAUAACGUAGGGAAACUUACGCUAAUACCGCAUACGACCUACGGGUGAAAGCAGGGGAUCUUCGGACCUUGCGCGUUUGAAUGAGCCGAUGUCGGAUUAGCUAGUUGGCGGGGUAAAGGCCCACCAAGGCGACGAUCCGUAGCUGGUCUGAGAGGAUGAUCAGCCACACUGGAACUGAGACACGGUCCAGACUCCUACGGGAGGCAGCAGUGGGGAAUACUGGACAAUGGGCGCAAGCCUGAUCCAGCCAUACCGCGUGGGUGAAGAAGGCCUUCGGGUUGUAAAGCCCUUUUGUUGGGAAAGAAAAGCAGCAGGUUAAUACCCCGCUGUUCUGACGGUACCCAAAGAAUAAGCACCGGCUAACUUCGUG
rnacentral:rRNA from 1 species